rnacentral:rRNA from 1 species
UGCUCCCUUAGGUCAGCGGCGGACGGGUGAGUAACACGUGGGUAACCUGCCUGUAAGACUGGGAUAACUCCGGGAAACCGGGGCUAAUACCGGAUGCUUGAUUGAACCGCAUGGUUCAAUCAUAAAAGGUGGCUUUCAGCUACCACUUACAGAUGGACCCGCGGCGCAUUAGCUAGUUGGUGAGGUAACGGCUCACCAAGGCGACGAUGCGUAGCCGACCUGAGAGGGUGAUCGGCCACACUGGGACUGAGACACGGCCCAGACUCCUACGGGAGGCAGCAGUAGGGAAUCUUCCGCAAUGGACGAAAGUCUGACGGAGCAACGCCGCGUGAGUGAUGAAGGUUUUCGGAUCGUAAAACUCUGUUGU